UGGAUGCCUUGGCACUAGAAGCCAAUGAAGGACGUUACUAACGACGAUAUGCUUUGGGGAGCUGUAAGUAAGCUUUGAUCCAGAGAUUUCCGAAUGGGGAAACCCAGCAUGAGUUAUGUCAUGUUAUCGAUAUGUGAAUACAUAGCAUAUCAGAAGGCACACCCGGAGAACUGAAACAUCUUAGUACCCGGAGGAAGAGAAAGAAAAUUCGAUUCCCUUAGUAGCGGCGAGCGAAACGGGAAGAGCCCAAACCAACAAGCUUGCUUGUUGGGGUUGUAGGACACUCUAUACGGAGUUACAAAGGACGACAUUAGACGAAUCAUCUGGAAAGAUGAAUCAAAGAAGGUAAUAAUCCUGUAGUCGAAAAUGUUGUCUCUCUUGAGUGGAUCCUGAGUACGACGGAGCACGUGAAAUUCCGUCGGAAUCUGGGAGGACCAUCUCCUAAGGCUAAAUACUCUCUAGUGACCGAUAGUGAACCAGUACCGUGAGGGAAAGGUGAAAAGCACCCCGGAAGGGGAGUGAAAUAGAACCUGAAACCGUGUGCUUACAAGUAGUCAGAGCCCGUUAAUGGGUGAUGGCGUGCCUUUUGUAGAAUGAACCGGCGAGUUACGAUUUGAUGCAAGGUUAAGCAGUAAAUGUGGAGCCGUAGCGAAAGCGAGUCUGAAUAGGGCGUUUAGUAUUUGGUCGUAGACCCGAAACCAGGUGAUCUACCCUUGGUCAGGUUGAAGUUCAGGUAACACUGAAUGGAGGACCGAACCGACUUACGUUGAAAAGUGAGCGGAUGAACUGAGGGUAGCGGAGAAAUUCCAAUCGAACCUGGAGAUAGCUGGUUCUCUCCGAAAUAGCUUUAGGGCUAGCCUCAAGUGAUGAUUAUUGGAGGUAGAGCACUGUUUGGACGAGGGGCCCCUCUCGGGUUACCGAAUUCAGACAAACUCCGAAUGCCAAUUAAUUUAACUUGGGAGUCAGAACAUGGGUGAUAAGGUCCGUGUUCGAAAGGGAAACAGCCCAGACCACCAGCUAAGGUCCCAAAAUAUAUGUUAAGUGGAAAAGGAUGUGGCGUUGCCCAGACAACUAGGAUGUUGGCUUAGAAGCAGCCAUCAUUUAAAGAGUGCGUAAUAGCUCACUAGUCGAGUGACACUGCGCCGAAAAUGUACCGGGGCUAAACAUAUUACCGAAGCUGUGGAUUGUCCUUUGGACAAUGGUAGGAGAGCGUUCUAAGGGCGUUGAAGCAUGAUCGUAAGGACAUGUGGAGCGCUUAGAAGUGAGAAUGCCGGUGUGAGUAGCGAAAGACGGGUGAGAAUCCCGUCCACCGAUUGACUAAGGUUUCCAGAGGAAGGCUCGUCCGCUCUGGGUUAGUCGGGUCCUAAGCUGAGGCCGACAGGCGUAGGCGAUGGAUAACAGGUUGAUAUUCCUGUACCACCUAUAAUCGUUUUAAUCGAUGGGGGGACGCAGUAGGAUAGGCGAAGCGUGCGAUUGGAUUGCACGUCUAAGCAGUAAGGCUGAGUAUUAGGCAAAUCCGGUACUCGUUAAGGCUGAGCUGUGAUGGGGAGAAGACAUUGUGUCUUCGAGUCGUUGAUUUCACACUGCCGAGAAAAGCCUCUAGAUAGAAAAUAGGUGCCCGUACCGCAAACCGACACAGGUAGUCAAGAUGAGAAUUCUAAGGUGAGCGAGCGAACUCUCGUUAAGGAACUCGGCAAAAUGACCCCGUAACUUCGGGAGAAGGGGUGCUCUUUAGGGUUAACGCCCAGAAGAGCCGCAGUGAAUAGGCCCAAGCGACUGUUUAUCAAAAACACAGGUCUCUGCUAAACCGUAAGGUGAUGUAUAGGGGCUGACGCCUGCCCGGUGCUGGAAGGUUAAGAGGAGUGGUUAGCUUCUGCGAAGCUACGAAUCGAAGCCCCAGUAAACGGCGGCCGUAACUAUAACGGUCCUAAGGUAGCGAAAUUCCUUGUCGGGUAAGUUCCGACCCGCACGAAAGGCGUAACGAUUUGGGCACUGUCUCAACGAGAGACUCGGUGAAAUCAUAGUACCUGUGAAGAUGCAGGUUACCCGCGACAGGACGGAAAGACCCCGUGGAGCUUUACUGUAGCCUGAUAUUGAAAUUCGGCACAGCUUGUACAGGAUAGGUAGGAGCCUUUGAAACGUGAGCGCUAGCUUACGUGGAGGCGCUGGUGGGAUACUACCCUAGCUGUGUUGGCUUUCUAACCCGCACCACUUAUCGUGGUGGGAGACAGUGUCAGGCGGGCAGUUUGACUGGGGCGGUCGCCUCCUAAAAGGUAACGGAGGCGCUCAAAGGUUCCCUCAGAAUGGUUGGAAAUCAUUCAUAGAGUGUAAAGGCAUAAGGGAGCUUGACUGCGAGACCUACAAGUCGAGCAGGGUCGAAAGACGGACUUAGUGAUCCGGUGGUUCCGCAUGGAAGGGCCAUCGCUCAACGGAUAAAAGCUACCCCGGGGAUAACAGGCUUAUCUCCCCCAAGAGUUCACAUCGACGGGGAGGUUUGGCACCUCGAUGUCGGCUCAUCGCAUCCUGGGGCUGUAGUCGGUCCCAAGGGUUGGGCUGUUCGCCCAUUAAAGCGGUACGCGAGCUGGGUUCAGAACGUCGUGAGACAGUUCGGUCCCUAUCCGUCGUGGGCGUAGGAAAUUUGAGAGGAGCUGUCCUUAGUACGAGAGGACCGGGAUGGACAUACCUCUGGUGUACCAGUUGUCGUGCCAACGGCAUAGCUGGGUAGCUAUGUGUGGACGGGAUAAGUGCUGAAAGCAUCUAAGCAUGAAGCCCCCCUCAAGAUGAGAUUUCCCAACUUCGGUUAUAAGAUCCCUCAAAGAUGAUGAGGUUAAUAGGUUCGAGGUGGAAGCAUGGUGACAUGUGGAGCUGACGAAUACUAAUCGAUCGAAGACUUAAUCAA
rnacentral:rRNA from 1 species